GUUCACGACCCUCAGCUUUGUCAUGGGCGUCAGUAUUGGCUGUGUGGCUGUCGUGUUUGUGCUUGGCUUCAUCACAGUGUUGGUGUUUUACUGCAACAGGAAAAGAGCAGCAGUUCAAACCCAGGAGCCAAUGAAAGAGAAGCCUGACGACUCUGCUGCCAUCUACUCCAAUAUCACUGAACUCCAGACAAUGACAGGUAGUGCCAGUCUACUCCAAUAUCACUGAACUCCAGACAGUGACAGGUAGUGCCAGUCUACUCCAAUAUCACUGAACUCCAGACAAUGACAGGUAGUGCCAGUCUACUCCAAUAUCACUGAACUCCAGACAAUGACAGGUAGUGCCAGUCUACUCCAAUAUCACUGAACUCCAGACAGUGACAGGUAGUGCCAGUCUACUCCAAUAUCACUGAACUCCAGACAAUGACAGGUAGUGCCAGUCUACUCCAAUAUCACUGAACUCCAGACAGUGACAGGUAGUGCCAGUCUACUCCAAUAUCACUGAACUCCAGACAAUGACAGGUAGUGCCAGUCUACUCCAAUAUCACUGAACUCCAGACAGUGACAGGUAGUGCCAGUCUACUCCAAUAUCACUGAACUCCAGACAGUGACAGGUAGUGCCAGUCUACUCCAAUAUCACUGAACUCCAGACAAUGACAGGUAGUGCCAGUCUACUCCAAUAUCACUGAACUCCAGACAAUGACAGGUAGUGCCAGUCUACUCCAAUAUCACUGAACUCCAGACAAUGACAGGUAGUGCCAGUCUACUCCAAUAUCACUGAACUCCAGACAAUGACAGGUAGUGCCAGUCUACUCCAAUAUCACUGAACUCCAGACAAUGACAGGUAGUGCCAGUCUACUCCAAUAUCACUGAACUCCAGACAAUGACAGGUAGUGCCAGUCUACUCCAAUAUCACUGAACUCCAGACAAUGACAGGUAGUGCCAGUCUACUCCAAUAUCACUGAACUCCAGGCAAUGACAGGUAGUGCCAGACUCCUCUGGGAGUCUGCAUUUCAAAUUAAAUUAAUACCUGAACAUAUCCGUGUUUUUUUACUUCAAAAUCUAAUAUCACUUCUUUUUUCAAAUAGUAAAAAAGAAACACCCUGCCAAGUAACAAAAACAGUAAUAAGCAAUCGAGGAGUGUCUCAGACUCCAAACUGUACCUGAUGGGCUUAUUUCUAGCUGUGCAACUUUGUUUUUCAAACAUGGAGUACAAUGCUUAAAAAAAAAACUCUCCUGGUGUCUUUAUUGUAAGGAUGUCAUGCUGCAGCAUGGUAGAACACAAGUUCGUUUUUAGUUUUUGUAGUUCUACCAAUUUUUAAAGAGAUGCUGUCAUAAAACCUAUCAUGGUCUUGAGCAACAUGCUUUAAAAAAUGUUAGCACAAUAUUCUUAUUAGAACGAUGUGUAUAUGACAAAGAGACUAGUGUCAUUAUCAUUCCCUUUAAAAAUAUGUGUAUUAAAUGGAUCGCAUGAUAAUUUGGUUGCUGUACAUACAGUACUGGUACAGUACCUGCCAGUAUGAUGGUCGGACUGAACAGAGCUGCUGUUUUCUGACACUGUUGAGAUGUUCAUAGAGGACAACAGAGGCUGGUCUUGUGUGUCUUUCUUGAAAGGUAACGCAGAGGUUGAGGAAACACAGAGACCAGAUCCCCAAGAAGACAAGGACAAAUCCGAACUUCAUUACGUGACUUUUACAUUUGAAGAAGGAAUGGCAGAUGUGAACGGUGGUGAGAUGGACUGCAGUCCCAUUGCAGCAAGCAAUGUAGCACCAAGCAAUGAAGUUGUCUACUCCAGCAUCAAGACAGCAAGACAUUGACAGGCAGGCCAGUCAAGGCCAGUUUCUUGGGACAGAGUCUGAGUAGGGCUGUGAAACUCUGGGGCUUUCUCAGAGAUCAGGCUUAUUCUACAUGUACCUUCUAUGUCAUUUAAAAAAUGCAUUCUUUUUAUUUGUGAUGACGUUUUGUUUGUGCUAUCUUGGCUGCAGUGUGAUUCUGAGUGAUCACUGAAUGGUGCAUUGUAGGUAUUGCACUGUAAGAUGCUAUGCUCUAGAAGUGCUUGUGUAUAGGG